rnacentral:ncRNA from 8 species
GAAGACCCUGUUGAGCUUGACUCU